UGUUCUGUAGCUCAGUGGUAGAGCACUUGUCUCACAAGCAAGAGGACCUGGGUUUGAAUCCCGGGCAGGACAA